rnacentral:rRNA from 1 species
UACGUAGGCAGCGAGCGUUGUUCGGAAUACUGGGCGUAAAGAGUGUGUAGGCGGUGCUCUAAGUUCGGUGUGAAAUCUCCUGGCUCAACUGGGAGGGUGCGCCGGAAACUGGAGUGCUUGAGCGUGGGAGAGGAAAGCGGAAUUCCUGGUGUAGCGGUGAAAUGCGUAGAUAUCAGGAGGAACACCUGUGGUGUAGACGGCUUUCUGGACCAUAGCUGACGCUGAGACACGAAAGCGUGGUAGCAAACAGG